GGGUGCAAGCGUUAUCCGGAUUCACUGGGUUUAAAGGGUGCGUANGCGGGCAGGUAAGUCAGUGGUGAAAUCCUGGAGCUCAACUCCAGAACUGCCAUUGAUACUAUCUGUCUUGAAUAUUGUGGAGGUAAGCGGAAUAUGUCAUGUAGCGGUGAAAUGCUUAGAUAUGACAUAGAACACCCAUUGCGAAGGCAGCUUACUACGCAUAUAUUGACGCUGAGGCACGAAAGCGUGGGGAUCAAACAGGAUUAGAUACCCUGGUAGUCCACGCCCUAAACGAUGGAUACUCGACAUACGCGAUACACUGUGUGUGUCUGAGCGAAAGCAUUAAGUAUCCCACCUGGGAAGUACGUUCGCAAGAAUGAAACUCAAAGGAAUUGGCGGGGGUCCGCACAAGCGGAGGAGUAUGUGGUUUAAUUCGAUGAUACGCGAGGAACCUUACCUGGGCUAGAAUGCUGGGAGACCGUGGGUGAAAGCUCACUUUGUAGCAAUACACUGCCAGUAAGGUGCUGCAUGGCUGUCGUCAGCUCGUGCCGUGAGGUGUUGGGUUAAGUCCCGCAACGAGCGCAACCCU
rnacentral:rRNA from 1 species